rnacentral:tRNA from 1 species
GAGGGUAUAGCUUAGUGGUAGAGCACAUGCUUACCAAGUGUGAGGUUCUGGGUUCAAUCUCCAAUACCUCCA